rnacentral:rRNA from 1 species
GAUCAUUAUUGAAUUGUUGACACGAGUUGUUGCUGGCCCUUUAUGGGGGGCAUGUGCACGCUCUGUUCAUUCAUCCACUCACACAUGUGCACCCUCUGUAGUUCUGUGGUCCGUGGGACUCUGUCCCACUCACUGUGGUUCUAUGUUUUUUACACACACUGUAAUAAAGUCUCAUGGAAUGUAUGCCGCGUUUAACGCAAUACAAUACAACUUUCAGCAACGGAUCUCUUGGCUCUCGCAUCGAUGAAGAACGCAGCGAAAUGCGAUAAGUAAUGUGAAUUGCAGAAUUCAGUGAAUCAUCGAAUCUUUGAACGCACCUUGCGCCCUUUGGCCAUUCCGAAGGGCAUGCCUGUUUGAGUAUCAUGAACACCUCAACUCUCAUGGUUUGCCAUGGUGAGCUUGGAAUCUGGAGGUCUUGCUGGCCUAUCGGUUGGCUCCUCUAAAACAAAUCAGCUUACCAGUAUUUGGUGGCGUCAUGGGUGUGAUAACUAUCUACGCUUGUGGUUGACCACUAAGUAACCUUCAGCAAUGGAGGUUUGCUGGGGCUCACAAAUGUCUCUCCUCAGUGAAGACAGCUUUUGAACGUUUGGUCUCAAAUCAGGUAGG